UACGGGGGGGGCAAGCGUUGUUCGGAAUUACUGGGCGUAAAGGGCUCGUAGGCGGCCAACUAAGUCAGACGUGAAAUCCCUCGGCUUAGCCGGGGAACUGCGUCUGAUACUGGAUGGCUUGAGUUUGGGAGAGGGAUGCGGAAUUCCAGGUGUAGCGGUGAAAUGCGUAGAUAUCUGGAGGAACACCGGUGGCGAAGGCGGCAUCCUGGACCAACACUGACGCUGAGUGAGCGAAAGCCAGGGGAGCAAACGGG
rnacentral:rRNA from 1 species